UACGUAGGGGGCAAGCGUUGUCCGGAUUUAUUGGGUUUAAAGGGUGCGUAGGCGGUCUUAUAAGUCAGUGCUGAAAUAUCCCGGCUUAACCGGGAGGGUGGCAUUGAUACUGUAGGACUUGAGUAGAGUUGAGGUUGGCGGAAUUGACGGUGUAGCGGUGAAAUGCUUAGAUAUCGUCAAGAACACCGAUUGCGAAGGCAGCUAACUAAGCUUUAACUGACGCUGAGGCACGAAAGUGUGGGGAUCAAACAGG
rnacentral:rRNA from 1 species